rnacentral:rRNA from 1 species
GACGAACGCUGGCGGCGUGCUUAACACAUGCAAGUCGAACGGAAAGGCCCUGCUUUUGUGGGGUGCUCGAGUGGCGAACGGGUGAGUAACACGUGAGUAACCUGCCCUUGACUUUGGGAUAACUUCAGGAAACUGGGGCUAAUACCUGAUAGGAGCUCCUGCUGCAUGGUGGGGGUUGGAAAGUUUCGGCGGUUGGGGAUGGACUCGCGGCUUAUCAGCUUGUUGGUGGGGUAGUGGCUUACCAAGGCUUUGACGGGUAGCCGGCCUGAGAGGGUGAACGGCCACAUUGGGACUGAGAUACGGCCCAGACUCCUACGGGAGGCAGCAGUGGGGAAUAUUGCACAAUGGGCGGAAGCCUGAUGCAGCAACGCCGCGUGCGGGAUGACGGCCUUCGGGUUGUAAACCGCUUUCGCCUGUGACGAAGCGUGAGUGACGGUAAUGGGUAAAGAAGCACCGGCUAACUACGUG